AUUGCUUUGAGCACCUGUCUUUUGCUACUAAUAAGUAUCACGUAACGGCAUCGAGCUCAACCUAAACAAUUUCCGUUAGUUCAGUUAUGCGGCAAUACUUGUGAAUUUGCACCUUUUUUGGAUCCAUUGCCCUUCUUUAGUAAUUUAUUAAAGAUUUUGAGGACCAAUAUGAACUGUAGUUGCUUUCUGCUUAGG